AUUGAACGCUGGCGGCAUGCUUUACACAUGCAAGUCGAACGGUAACAGGCCGCCAGGUGCUGACGAUUGGCGAACGGGUGAGUAAUGCAUCGGAACGUGCCCAGCCGUGGGGGAUAACUACUCGAAAGCGUAGCUAAUACCGCAUACGACCUAUGGAUGAAAUCGGGGGACCGUAAGGCCCCGCGCGAUUGGAGCGGCCGAUGUCAGAUUAGGUAGUUGGUGGGGUAAAGGCUCACCAAGCCAACGAUCUGUAGCUGGUCUGAGAGGACGACCAGCCACACUGGGACUGAGACACGGCCCAGACUCCUACGGGAGGCAGCAGUGGGGAAUUUUGGACAAUGGGCGCAAGCCUGAUCCAGCAAUGCCGCGUGCAGGAAGAAGGCCUUCGGGUUGUAAACUGCUUUUGUACGGAACGAAACGGCUCUGGUUAAUACCCGGGGCUAAUGACGGUACCGUAAGAAUAAGCACCGGCUAACUACGUG
rnacentral:rRNA from 1 species